AGAGUUCAAAAGGGCGUGAAACCGCUUAGAAUAAAACGGACGGAGCCGUUAGUGGCCCUCUAGAAUCAGUCGUGCGACGCGCGUUUACGCGUUAUUCGCCGGAGCGAAUAAUUGUCCGGCUGGCGCGUAUGAAAGUAGUAGCGCUCGCUCGAUGCACUUCUAGAGGGUAUGCGUCGCGACCGACGCGAGAGGCUAGUGAAUCCGGCGAAUUGAGGGCGAAAAGUCAAUUACUGGUUUCUUCGUAACCAGUUAGUCGGUAUAUACAUGUCGCUAGACCUAAGCGUCGAGCGCAAUGAAAAGUUAACGCCGGUACUACGGAAAGAUUCGCGCUACUAGCGCUAAAGCGAUGGAAAGUCGGCGCGUUAUUCAUAACUUGCUCGCAGUUUAUGGAUUAUACGACGUUCGGCGUUUGAUAGAUAUCGCGAGCGACCGGUCGUUAAGGCGUCAGCGGCGUCCGAGACGGUCAACCGUCCGACCCGUCUUGAAACACGGACCAAGGAGUCUAACGUACGCGCGAGCUAAUGAGUAGAAAGCUCAAAAGCGCAAUGAAAGUGAAAGCCGUUUCGGACGGCGAAGGGUACGAUCCCGGUUAUGCCCGCGGUGUAUAGCCGGGCGCAGUACCGUCCCAUCCUGAUCGCACGUCGAUAGGGUGGAGAUUGAGCGCAUGCGUUGGGACCCGAAAGAUGGUGAACUAUGCCUGAGCAGAGCGAAGCCAGAGGAAACUCUGGUGGAGGUUCGUAGCGGUUCUGACGUGCAAAUCGAUCGUCAGACUUGGGUAU
rnacentral:rRNA from 1 species